GGCUUUUUCCUUCGACUAGGUUUUAUCCCAUUGGGUUUUCCUAACAAGAUUUCAAUGAGGCAACAUUUUUGUUUUAGGGAUUGGUCAAUCAAGGAAAAAUGUUGUAAAUAUAUCUUUAUGUGUGUUGAUCAAAAAAUCUCCCUAAAACCCUAGCUUCCUACUUAUAUAAAUAGAGGUCUUUGGCCCUCAUAUUGAAUACACUCAAUUCAUAUUUUCUUCUUUAUUCUCUCGUUUCUCUCUAGUUUAUAAUAAAACUUAUAAAGUUAAUGUUCUUAGAAAAAAAAUUACGCGCAAAAUAAAAAUCACCUUAAAAAUAACAGAACUUAACAAAUUUAACUUUCCGCCAAGUCACUCAAAGAAAAAAAGAAAAAACUUUCCGCCAAGUAGAAUGCAGACAGACUUCAUGUGUUAAUGUUUAAAAUAUUUAGCAUAUCUCCAC
rnacentral:lncRNA from 1 species